UUUGGGAAAUAAUUAAUGCGGGAUGAAACCGCUAUUUCUAUACUACUGAAGGGGCUAUCCGACGGUGCCCCUCGUAGGUUCCUCCUGCCCCCCGAUGGGCUAAAAAAUCGGGUCAAAGUAAAAAUUGCUAUGGGGAGAGGGGUUUUGACCAAUUUUUCGAGAAUUUCUUCCAGACUUCACAAGUGAUUUCACAUAGGAGAUGGAUAGAGCGACCAAUGAGCAAUAAAAAGAGCGAAAAAAAUCGAGAAAAAAAACCACGUCUUAAGCCGAUUUUUCACUUUUAAUAUUUCAAACCGUUUUUUUACCACUACAGGGGGGCAGGGGGACCAAAGGGGGCACCCUCGGAUAGCCCUAUCGAUUACCUUUCCAACGAUAUACAUAUGUCCGGGUAAUUAGAUAAAAGUUUACAAAUGUUGAAUGAAAAAAUGCAAUUUUUUCGAUUUUUGACCAUUUUUUUGAAAAUUGAUUCCUUGAUUUUUUACGACUUUGUGAAAAGUUGAGUCCCAAAUUUUGGCCAUCUUAGUUUCUCAUGAGGGUCAACAUAUAUACAAAAUUAAAACGAAAUCCGAGACCAUGAUUUCAGAUUUUGAUCGAUUUGAUAUGGAAUCGUCGUAUUGGAAAAACUGCCCGCUAAACUCUUUGAAUGCACUUCAAAUGGGAGACGAUGCUGCGAAUACCAAUGAUCAUCAACAACAACCGGAAAAAGAACAAGAAUACCGAGAGCUAAUGCAAGAUUUGCUACUACUACUACUGCCAUUUACCAUUGUUUGGCAUACCGAGUUGCGGCCAGGUGCAUCAUGAAUAAAGCUGUGUGUUUCAUUUUCGAUUAAAAUUGCUAAAUUCGUUUGUGAGACCACAGCCACCAAUACCGCCGUAUCGUAAAAAACCACCACAAACUGGAAAAAAAGCAAAUGUUGUUCCGGCCCAGGUGAACAAUCAAUAAUAAUCAACCAACAUCAAUUGAAGAAAAGAAAACAUGUUAAAUAAAAUAGUUAUUACCAAAGCUUGUAGCUUUGUGGCUUUGAUAAUAUCUGAGAUAUUAUGUAUAAAGUAACCCCAGUUAAGAAUAAUUUUACCGAUUAAUUGAUAACAAUUAUUAUUACUGUUGAUUUUUAAGCUCUAUUUUAAUUAAUAUAUUGAUUUCAAUUUAAUGGAAAUUUUUUGCAUAACUCUUUUUGUUCCUUUUUUUCAUUCCAUUGUGAGGUUAAAUUCGACCAACACAACUGCAACCCUGUAUUCGACCAUCAAUAUGUUCCCGAUUUGCCCCAACAAUUGUUUAGUGGGUAAAAUUAAACAACGUAAUGUGCCCAGUUACCGGACACCUAAGAAGCUUGUUUGGAUUUGAACUAUUUUAGAGAAAAAAAUAUGUUAUAUUUCUUAUUAAUCUUUUCGUAGAUCGCUACGUUAUUCAUUUCUCUUUCAAAAUAUUUCUAUAUAUUCCACAAAGCUUUUAUUUUAUUCAUUUUAUUUAUAAAAACGGAAACAAGUCGACGUGCCUUGGUAUCGGACAUGUAGUGUUUGCUGAUGUACCAGUUAUCGGACACAGAGUUGGUACCAGUUAUCGGACAUAGAUUUUCAGAAAAUAAAAGAAAAGCGUGAACGGAAAAAUCAUGAAAUUCUUUUCAUUCGAUA